rnacentral:rRNA from 1 species
CCUACGGGAGGCAGCAGUGAGGAAUAUUGGUCAAUGGGCGCGAGCCUGAACCAGCCAAGUCGCGUGAAGGAUGACUGCACUACGGGUUGUCAACCUCUUUUAUCAGGGAAUAAAGUGAGGCACGUGUGCCUGUUUGUAUGUACUUUAUGAAAAAGGAUCGGCUAACUCCGUGCCCGCAGCCGCGGUAAUACGGAGGAUCGGAGCGUUAUCAGGAUUUAUUGGGGUUAAAGGGAGCGUAGAUGGUAGGUUAAGACAGGUGUGAAAGUUUGCGGCUUAACCGUAAAAUUGCAAUUGAUACUGGCAGGCUGGAGUACAGUAGAGGUAGGCGGAAUUCGUAGUGUAGCGGUGAAAUGCUUAGAUAUCACGAAGAACCCCGAUUGCGAAGGCAGCCUACUAAACUGCCACUGACAUUGAGGCUCGAAAGUGUGGGUAUCAAACAGGAUUAGAUACCCGUGUAGUC